GGUGACGUGUCAGAGCGGCCGAAUGAGCUCGCCUCGAAAGCGAGUGUGGUGAAAGCCACCGAGGGUUCAAAUCCCUCCGUCACCGCCG
rnacentral:tRNA from 1 species